rnacentral:rRNA from 1 species
UACGUAGGGCGCAAGCGUUAUCCGGAAUUAUUGGGCGUAAAGAGCUCGUAGGCGGUUUGUCGCGUCUGCUGUGAAAACCCGAGGCUCAACCUCGGGCCUGCAGUGGGUACGGGCAGACUAGAGUGCGGUAGGGGAGAAUGGAACUCCUGGUGUAGCGGUGGAAUGCGCAGAUAUCAGGAGGAACACCGGUGGCGAAGGCGGGUCUCUGGGCCGAUACUGACGCUGAGGAGCGAAAGCGUGGGGAGCGAACAGG